rnacentral:sRNA from 1 species
UAUCAUUCAAGAUUAUGGUGAGCUACCUGA